ensembl:snRNA U6 U6 spliceosomal RNA
GUGCUCACUUCAGCAGCAAAUAUACUAAAAUUGGAACAACACAGAGAAGAUUAACACAGCCCCUAAACAAGAAUGGUACUCAAAUUCAUGAAGCAUUCCAUAUUUUU